GUAAAUAUUUCACAUCCAUUAUUGUGCUGUGUACUGCAGGCAUUUGGUUGCCAUGUACUUCUUUGUUGUUGCCUAAAUGUUGCAAAAAAUGAAAUUUUCUUAACUCAAGGUACAUGAUUCUGGUUGGAUCAAUUUGAGAUUGAAUUACUGUUGUACUGGUGGUCCAUUAAGGUAACUGAUCACCAUUCCUGCAUGAGCAUGAAAUUGUUUCUUGUGAGUUUGGUUGGUCUAGCCAGAUGGAUUAACUGCAUGGUUUGUUGCUGAAGUCACAUUAUAAGCCAGUCUUAGUAUUUGUAAUUAAAUUGGUAGUUUGAAAAGGAUGAGUCUCAUUGUACCUGAAAUUAUUCAUUUAUAAGUUUAGGAUUUGUUUGAACUUUUAUUUUCUUGAACCCUUAACUAUAUGUGAGGUCAAGCUGAUUGUUGUUACCUUCACUUAGAAUGCAUUCUAUAUAA
rnacentral:misc_RNA from 1 species